rnacentral:rRNA from 1 species
UUCGGUGACUACAGCGGAAGGGAAACACCCGUACCCAUUCCGAACACGGCAGUUAAGCCUUCCAGCGCUUAUGGUACUUCGAGGGUAACUUCGUGGGAGAGUAGGUCGUUGCCGAGG